UUUACAGCCAGCUGAUGGCCUGUAAAUUACUGCUCCUGCUGCAGUUAUUUUUCAGUGCAGCUGUGGAAGAUUGGUUUUCCAUUUCUCAUCUUUCUACAAUUCAAAUCGCCUGUGGAAGCGUCUCAGUACCUCGUGGAAGUUUCAUUUAAAGUUCUCUGGCUCCAGGGAAUGGUACCCCACAUCAUUUGUGUCCAGUUUCUUCUGAACUCAGCACAGCCUCUCCCACCUGAGACACAAGCUGUGUCCCAGUUCCAUACGACACACUACUUGUAUAUACUAAUCUUUAUAGUAUACUGUUUACUUCAGUUGUUAUAUACUGCCACAGCACAUAAAGCUAUUACAUUAUUUUUUGUUUUUUCUAAGAUGUUAUUGGAGCCGUUUAACCAACAUCCAAAAUUUGAUUUUAUCCAGCAGCUUAAUUUCCUUUGUGCAUUGUAUUGUGGGAGAAUAGUGUCUAUCAACACUUAAAGGUCAAGUACUUUUUAGUACCCUAUGAAUACUGUCUUUUCAUCCAUGUUAGCAGUAUGGCAUAAAGGUUAGAAAAGGUUGUUGUUGUCGGUCAGUCCACCACUUUGGUCCAGGCUGAAAUCUCAGCAAACUAAUUCUAUACACGGGCGCCUGGAUAGCUCAGUGGGUAGAGCUGGCGACCCAUGUACCGAGGCUGAGUCCUUGCUGCAGCGGCCCAGGGUUCAAAUCUGACCUGUGGCCCUUGGUUGCGUGUCAUUCCCUCUCUCUCUGCCCCCUUUCCUGUCUAUCUUCAGCUGUCACUAUAAUAAAGGCAAUAAAAGCCCAAAAAAAUAUACUUAAAUAAAAAAUUCUGUACACAU